rnacentral:rRNA from 1 species
UACGUAGGGUGCAAGCGUUAAUCGGAAUUACUGGGCGUAAAGCGUGCGCAGGCGGUUUUGUAAGACUGUCGUGAAAUCCCCGGGCUCAACCUGGGAAUGGCGAUGGUGACUGCAAGGCUAGAGUUUGGCAGAGGGGGGUAGAAUUCCACGUGUAGCAGUGAAAUGCGUAGAUAUGUGGAGGAACACCGAUGGCGAAGGCAGCUCUCUGGUCGACCUCUGACGCUGAGACGCGAAAGCGUGGGGAGCGAACGGG